GCCUGGGUGGCUCAGUUGGUUGAGCAUCUGACUUUUGAUUUGGGCUCAGGUUGUGAUCCCAGGGUUGUGGGAUCAAGCCCCACAUUGGGCU
rnacentral:tRNA from 1 species